CCAAUUACGGUUUUAAAAUUUUAAACGGUAUGUAUAUUAUGACCCCAUUUUGGGGAGAGAAAGUUAUGUGCGUGUGUGCGUGUGUUUGUGUUUGUGGCGUAUGUCAGAGGUUCUCAAACGCUGGCACACUUCAGAAUCAUCUGUAGUCCUUGAUAAGAUGUAGAUUGCUGGGUCCCAACCAUAGAGUUUCUUUUCUUUUUCCAUAGAGUUUCUUGUUCAGUAGGUCUGAGUUGAUGCCUGAGGAUUUGCUUUUCUAAUCAGUUUCCAGAUACUGAUGCUCUUAGUCUGGGAACCACAUUUAAAGAACUGUGGUAAGAGAGAAAAGCAUAGAAAAAAGUCUGCAAGAAUAAUGCACCAUAAUGUUAAUAGUGGUUACCUCAUUCCUGGGUUACGGGAUUACAAGGGCUUUUUAUUUUUACUUUUAUACCUUUCUGUAUUUUUCCCCAGUGACUGAGUAUUACUGUUGUCAUCAGAAGAAACAGCAUUUAAUAUUUUUCAGAUGUUCUAGUAUUUCUAUUCUCAUAGCACAUAGAGUUUCUAUUGUUCUCUAUUGUUUAGUCUUAUACUACUCCCAUUAUAAAUAAAAAAGUUUCGAGAAUUCAGCGUUUUGUGUCUUUUGUCUUUUAUUUUGUCUUCCCAAGAAGUGAGUGUUUAGCAAGGUGUAUUUGUCACGUGGAGUUCUUAUUUCAGUUGUGGUGCUAAACAUGAAAUGUUCAGUAGGUUCUCAGAGGCUCAGUUAGUUAGAAUAUCAUAUUCUUUUUUGCCAUAUCCCCUCUCUUAAGACCCAACAGGAUCCUAUUUCAUGAAUACAGAUAGUGUUUGAUCUGCCUUUGGAAGAGGAAGAUCUCAGAAUCUGAAAGAAGAGUAUAAUUUGUCUAAGGCAACAAAAGUAAGUCAAGACCAAAAGGAUAAUCUAACUCUCUUGACCUCAGACUAAAUCAACCAACCACCAAAUGAAAAAAACCUAGCCACUGAACUAUCACUUUGGCUCUCUGAUCGUUCCGCCCUUGCAAUUUUAAAAAUAAUAGGGACAUAACACCAAACAUGAAAAACAAAGCCUCAAGAAUCCAGUACUUCCCCAUGAAAGAAUAGCAAGUAUAUUAUGCAUAUAGGUGAGUUUCAUUGAUAUUUCAGGAAGGGCCUCUCUUAAUUGAAAAUAUAUUUAGGGAGUUCCCGUUGUGGCGCAGUGGUUAACGAAUCCGACUAGGAACCAUGAGGUUGCGGGUUCGGUCCCUGCCCUUGCUCAGUGGGUGAAGGAUCCGGCGUUGCCGUGAGCUGUGGUGUAGGUUGCAGACGCGGCUUGGAUCCCGCAUUGCUGUGGCUCUGGCGUGGGCCGGUGGCUACAACUCCGAUUCAACCCCUAGCCUGGGAACCUCCAUAUGCCGCGGGUGCGGCCCAAGAAAUAGCAACAACAACAA